rnacentral:lncRNA from 1 species
CUCGGUUUUGAUGCCUAGGAACUCUCCUUGGACAGUUGAUGGAUCAAUCAUCAUCAUAAGACUCUUCUCGGAUUUCUAGGUCGGACCGGCUGUUCCUCCUUGGAUGGUCGUCUGGUUCUGGUUCGUGGCUGACUUGGAUGGCCCUGAAGUUCAUCUAGCCUCUGAUGGAUUGCCUCCAAACCUGUAUUCAACAAGUUAGACAUAGAAUCAUUGAGAGCACACAUUUGCAAGUUAGAUAAUCCGGCAUGUGAAUUUCCGGGUUGGUUUCUUUCAUCUUCACUAUCCAUGGCUACCUGAAAACUUAAACAAGGUAAAGUUAGAUUAAAAACCUCACACACUCAGGUGUUUAUCCUUGCCCACACACGGUUUCACUCAAUUUGGUAGUCACACAAGAGAGUUUCCCUCAAAGUUCUAAGAGAACAAACUAGAUAACCCAAAAUGAGAAUCCCAAGUGAAACACCCAAGAGACAAGAUAGAAAGAUAAGAGAUUUAACAAGGGGAAUCUGUAUUAACCACCUCCAAGGCCGGGUUUCUCCUCGGCCAGCAGGCUUACUCUUCCACCACCAAACCACAAUUGAAAACUUUUGAUAGAUUUUCUUUCUUUUUCUUUUUUUUUUUGAUUAGAUCUUUCUUUCUUUUAUUUUAAUAUAUAUGGAUGGUAAAGCGGGGCCCGGAUUCAAAGAUAGAUAGAAGAAGAAUUUCUUUUUUUUUCUGAAGAAAAUGAUAGAUGAGAAAGAUGGAAUGAAAAGAGAUACCGGAAGAGUGGCUCUGAUACCACUUGAAGAACCCUAAGGAACGAACACUCAACCGGAUCUGAUGAUAUGAACUCGAUCUGAAGAGAUAGAGAACUGAUGGAUUGUUUAGUGACACAAAGGGAUGCGGAAGACCCAAUGAUACUACUAGAACUCUCAAUGGCCGCUUGAUUUGACACACAAGUCCGGCUCAAAGAAAGGGGAUUCACUUGGAGAUAGCCUCACCAAGGGAACAAGAAUGUUCUAAUCAAAGAACAAAGAAAGAAAUCUCAAAAUGAAUAAGGAAAAUCGAUUAUCUUAUUUCAAGGAUGCG